rnacentral:rRNA from 1 species
GAACUUAAGCAUAAUCAAUAAGCGAAGAAAGAAACUAACAAGGAUUCCCUCAGUAAUUCGAGGAAAGUGGAAAGCUCAAAUUGAAAUCUGGCAGCUCUUCAGGUUGUCCGAGUUGUAAUCUAGAGAAGCGUUACCUGUGGUGGACCGUGUAAAAGUCUUCUGGAAUGGAGCAUCAUAGAGGGUGAGAAUCCCGUCUUUGACAUGGACUACCAGCAUGCCAAGGUGCACUCUCAAAGAGUCGAGUUGUUUGGGAAUGCAGCUCAAAAUGGGUGGUAAAUGCCAUCUAAAGCUAAAUAUUGGCGAGAGACCGAUAGCGAACAAGUACCGUGAGGGAAAGAUGAAAAGAACUUUGGAAAGAGAGUUAAACAGUACGUGAAAUUGCUGAAAGGGAAACGCUUAAAGUCAGUCGCAUUAGCUGGAAAUCAGGCUUGCUUUUGCAAGGUGCACUUUCUAGUUGAUGGGUCAGCAUCAAUUUUAAUCGUUGGAUAAAGUCAUUGGGAAUGUGGCAUCUUUGGAUGUGUUAUAGCCCAGUGUUGAAUACAGCGGUCAGGAUUGAGGAAUUCAGCAUGCCUCUAGGGGCCAGGUUUCGACCAUGUUCAUGCUUAGGAUGCUGGCAUAAUGGCUUUAAUCGACCCGUCUUGAAACACGGACCAAGGAGUCUAACAUGCCUGCGAGUGUUUGGGUGAAAAACCCAUACGCACAAUGAAAGUGAAAGUUGAGAUCCUUAGGGAGCAUUGACGCCCGGACCAGACCUUCUGUGACGGAUCCGCGGUAGAGCAUGUAUGUUGGGACCCGAAA